AUUGAACGCUAGCGGCAUGCUUUACACAUGCAAGUCGAACGGAGAGGCGGACGGGUGAGUCAUAUUUCGGAACGUGUCCAGUAGCUGGGUAUAAAUACUCUUCAGUAUUACUAAUACCGCAUUAUUUACGUGCCGCCGAUAUCGGAUUAGCUAGUUGGUGGGGUAAAGGCUCACAAAGGAAACGAUCCGUAGCUGGUUUGAGAGGACGACCAGCCACACUGGGAUGGAGACACGGCCCAGACUCCUACGGGAGGCAGCAGUGGGGAAUUUUGGACAAUGGGGGAAACCCUGAUCCAGCCAUCCCGCGUGUAUGAUGAAGGCCUUCGGGUUGUAAAGUACUUUUGGCAGAGAAGCGGUAUCUGCAGAAUAAGCACCGGCUAACUACGUGCCAGCAGCCGCGGUAAUUC
rnacentral:rRNA from 1 species